rnacentral:rRNA from 1 species
GACGAACGCUGGCGGCGUGCUUAACACAUGCAAGUCGAGCGGAAAGGCCUUCGGGUACUCGAGCGGCGAACGGGUGAGUAACACGUGAGCAACCUGCCCCAGGCUUUGGGAUAACCCCGGGAAACCGGGGCUAAUACCGAAUAUUACUGCUGAUCGCAUGGUUGGUGGUGGAAAGUUUUUCGGCUUGGGAUGGGCUCGCGGCCUAUCAGCUUGUUGGUGGGGUGAUGGCCUACCAAGGCGACGACGGGUAGCCGGCCUGAGAGGGCGACCGGCCACACUGGGACUGAGACACGGCCCAGACUCCUACGGGAGGCAGCAGUGGGGAAUAUUGCACAAUGGGCGGAAGCCUGAUGCAGCGACGCCGCGUGAGGGAUGACGGCCUUCGGGUUGUAAACCUCUUUCAGCAGGGACGAAGCGCA